AAUAAACAAUUAGAAGAAACACUAACAAAAAUGAGAGUAAAGGAAAAUCAACAACUUCUGUCAUUACCAAGAAAUACUAGUUCAGCAUCAUACAGAAUCAGAAGAGGAAUGAGAAUGGAAAUAGAACAAUUGCAGUUAUUAUUAACAAAUGCAACUGGUAUAAUAUACUGAAUCAUAAUGUAUGUGAUAGUGUAUUAUAUACUAUGAUAGGUUUACUAGAUCAGAAUGAAUCAUUAAUUGAUAUUAACAGAGAAAUAGCUAAACUGCAACAACAAAUAUCAGUAAUGAGUGUACAGUAUAGUGCAAAAAAAAGGCUAAGUAGCUGCGCAGUAGAG